CUACGGGGGGCUGCAGUGAGGAAUUUUGCGCAAUGGGGGGAACCCUGACGCAGCAACGCCGUGUGAGUGAAGAAGGCCUUUGGGUCGUAAAGCUCUGUCAACUGGGAAGAAGUUACUAUGCUUAAAUAGAGUGUAGUAUUGACGGUACCAGUGGAGGAAGCGUCGGCUAACUCCGUGCCAGCAGCCGCGGUAACACGGGGGACGCAAGCGUUAUUCGGAAUUAUUGGGCGUAAAGGGCGCGUAGGCGGUCUUGUCGGUCAGGUGUGAAAGCCCGGGGCGCAACCCCGGACGUGCACUUGAAACAGCAAGACUUGAGUACGGGAGAGGAAAGCGGAAUUCCUGGUGUAGAGGUGAAAUCCGUAGAUAUCAGGAGGAACACCGAUGGCGAAGGCAGCUUUCUGGACCGAAACUGACGCUGAGGCGCGAAGGCGUGGGUAGCGAACGGGAUUAGAUACCCUAGUAGUC
rnacentral:rRNA from 1 species